rnacentral:rRNA from 1 species
CCUGCAGUCGAACGAUGAAGUGGAGCUUGCUCCACGGAUUAGUGGCGAACGGGCGAGUAACACGUGAAUAACCUGCCCUCAAUUUCGGAAUAACCCAGGGAGACCUGGGCUAAUACCGGAUACGUAAACCUGUGGCAUCACAUGGUUUUGGAAAGUUUUUCGAUUGAGGAUGGAUUCGCGGCCUAUCAGCUUGUUGGUGAGGUAAUGGCUCACCAAGGCGACGACGGGCAGCCGGCCUGAGAGGGUGAACGGCCACACUGGGACUGAGACACGGCCCAGACUCCUACGGGAGGCAGCAGUGGGGAAUAUUGCGCAAUGGACGAAAGUCUGACGCAGCGACGCCUCGUGAGGGACGAAGGUCUUCGGAUUGUAAACCUCUUUCAGCAGGGACGAAGCGAAAGUGACGGUACCUGCAGAAGAAGCACCGGCUAACUAUGUGCCAGCAGCCGCGGUAAUACAUAGGGUGCAAGCGUUGUCCGGAUUUAUUGGGCGUAAAGAGUUCGUAGGCGGUUUUUCGCGUCGGAUGUGAAAACUCAGGGCUCAACCCUGAGCCUGCAUUCGAUACGGGAAGACUCGAGGACGGCAGGGGAGACUGGAACUUCUGGUGUAGCGGUGGAAUGCGCAGAUAUCAGAAAGAACACCAAUGGCGAAGGCAGGUCUCUGGGCCGAUCCUGACGCUGAGGAACGA